rnacentral:tRNA from 2 species
GGGUUUGUAACUCAGUGGAUUAGAGUACGCGUUUCCGAAGCGCGGUGUCGAGGGUUCAAUUCUCUCCUUACCCA